CAUCUUGACUAAGACUAAAUCUUCUCAGUGAGUUGCUCUGUUUUUAUAGAUUUGAGAAGUUCUGAUUUUUUUUUUUCAAUCUUUGUUCUUUGGCUGAAUCUAUUGUUCAGACGUUGUGUGUGAAAUGCGCUUCUUUCUCUGUUUGUAGUUUAUUUUCAUGUUUUUUUGGGUUUAUGUAUAUAUAUACAAACAUGUAUGAGUCAGACAUUACAAAUUCUUGAUGUUUCACUUCAAGUCAGAAUCUCACUAUUGUAUUGUGGGAUAUGUUGAAUAUGACAUGGAGGCUGAUCUAGACUCCUGGUUAAGAGAUCUGUCAGUUUCAACAACAAAACUCUAGAGCCCACGAUCUUAGGAUUUUGUGGUAAAAUGGUUGUUGAGAAAUCCAUUCCCUUCAAAUGGAUGCAACCGGAGAGAAUGAUCUCGCUCUGAGUUACACAUUGUUGGGAUUUUUAGAUAAAUUUCAGUUCUUGAUCUGAGGAACCCCAAACGAAGCUGCUCUUAAGUUACAUAAAUUUUACAAAAGAUUUGGUACCAGGUGAAAGCUCGCAGGCUGUGCAGUGCUCGUGGAGCAAAGGUGUUACCUGUUAGUGUUUUGAUCUCAAAACUUCUGGUGUUAUUGUGUUGUCGUGAUCUUAUGUUGUAUGAUAAAUCCCCUUUGUUUCAAUCACAGGCAGAAACUCUUAGACUUUGGUGAGGUAAAGAUAAGUUAUAUAUCAUUCUUUGAUAUCAAGAAACAUGAAACCGUGAAUUCCAGGUGGGAUCUCGAGCUUGGACAAGAGCAGAUGAGGUUGGUAAAGGUUUGUGACCUUUGACAUCGGUAUGGACAUAACCUUCAUUUUUACUAUAAGUUGCUCCACUUCCAGAGUAGAGACCUUCUACUGGUUUGAUAUUGGCAAGGAGUAAGAAGUAAAACUUGUGAAGAAGUGUCUCGGUUGAAACUUCAACAUUAAUUAAGUACCUUGGUCUGGUUAGUAUCUAUUUCUUUUUGUUGACAUGAUUAUGCUUUGUGUAUAUGGAAAGGCAAGCUUCUGAGGUUUUUCUGAAAGACGGGAAAUUCUUUUACAAGAACAGUGGAGAUAUGCUUCAAACUUCUUCUAUGAAAGAUAGUGAUCCACAAAAAUUUUGGUGCUCAGCACAUCAAAAGUAUUAUAUGUUCAGAAGAAGGGGAAGUUUUAACAGUUAAGCUUCUUAGCUGGAGGAGCUAAUGUUGCUGCAUGAAGAAUUGUUGUUUAAAAUGGUGUUCUUACGGCUGUUUGGCCAUUGUCCAUGCUUGGUAGCAAUUUUUAAUUUUAGUAUAGUAGAUCAUAUAAAAAUAUAGAUUGAAAUUAACUGUGUUGUGAGUAUUGUUUUAUAGCUAAUAAGAAAACUGUGAAAAUUUAAUUUCAAAAAGCUUCA